GCUGCAUCUACGCGACUAUGAUGGUGAAGGACUGAGAAGCGGGAGGAGGUGGCCACUGUCUCGCAGGGUCAUCGUCACGCCGGGCGAGCCUUUUCAAGCUGGGAAGGCGGGGCCCGCCUUGAUAUCUUCUGUGUUAUCGCGAGAUUCGUGGGGAAGCCGACAUGUUUCUGCGGGGCGUAGGUUCACGUGGGUUUUGCGACCGCGUGGAAGUGUUCGUGCCGGCUUCAAAGCGGAUGAGGCGGCGGCCAUAUUUUUGUGGUGCGGCCGUCCCAGACGGUCCUAGGAGCAUUUGCAGCGGCGGCGCCAUAUUUGUAAAGGUUGGGUGCUUUCCACGAGCUUUCAGAAGUCUAAUGGAAGUUACUCUCCUCUUAUGGCUCUUUUCGUCCUGCGACGUCCCCCUAGGAGUAACGUUAAGGGACAAGGAAGGGCUUCAGAAACUUCGAACGUCUUCCCUUCAGUGACCCUGCAGAAGCUUUAUAAUUUAUUAUUUGAAGGAAAAACCAACUUCUGGAGUUUGUUAAUGAACUUGGGAAAGAUUUAACUGAAUAAAAGCAACAAGAAAAACAAGACCCACAGUUCUAUCUAUAAUGUGUGCUAAACCAUGCACAAAAAUUACUCAGAAAAAAGCCUGGAAGGAAAUGCAUGACACUGCCCAGGUUAUUGGCCUGGCCAGGCGGUAGGAUUUCCUCUGUGGCUCUCUGGUUUUUAAAAUGCUCAAUUUUUUUUGUGGCUGGCCGGUUCAGGGGUCCAACCCUUGACCUUGGUGUUACCAGUACCAUGCUCUGCCAAGUGAGCAUAAUGCUCCAACUAUAUAUUUUUUUUUUUUUAAUAAAAAAAAGCUCAAUAUUUUGCAAA